rnacentral:rRNA from 1 species
GACGAACGCUGGCGGCGUGCUUAACACAUGCAAGUCGAACGGUAAUUCCCUGCUGUUGUGGGGUGCUCGAGUGGCGAACGGGUGAGUAACAGGUGGGUUACCUGCCCUGGACUUUGGGAUAACGUCAGGAAACUGGGGCGAAUACCGGAUAGGAUCUCGUGCUGCAGUGUGUGGGGUGUAAAGUUUGGGCGGGUGGGGAUGGAGUCGGGGCUUAUCAGCUUGUUGGUGGGGGAGUGGCUUACCAAGGCUGUGACGGGUAGCCGGCCUGAGCGGGUGAACGGCCACAUUGCGCCUGCGAUACGCACCAGUAUGCUACGGGAGGCAGCAGUGGGGAGUAUUGCCCAAUGGGCGGAAGCCUGAUGCAGAAACGCCGCGUGCGGGAUGACGGCCUUCGGGUUGUAAACCGCUUCCGCAUGUGCCGAAGCGUGAGUGACGGUAAUGAGUAAAGAAGCAACGGCUAACUACGUG